UAAUGCGUGACCAACCUGCCCCAUGCUCCAGAAUAGCUCUUGGAAACGGGUGGUAAUGCUGGAUGCUCCAACUUGACGCAUGUCUUGUUGGGAAAGUGUUUAGUGGCAUGGGAUGGGGUCGCGUCCUAUCAGCUUGUAGGCGGGGUAAUGGCCCACCUAGGCUUCGACGGGUAGCCGGCCUGAGAGGGCGGACGGCCACAUUGGGACUGAGAUACGGCCCAGACUCCUACGGGAGGCAGCAGGC
rnacentral:rRNA from 1 species